AUGUGGUGAUCUGUAGUACUCUCUCCGUCCCUAGAUAUAAGGGAUUUUGGUUGGAAGUGACACAUUUUAAUUUAACAAGUCUGGACAGAACUGUCCAGAUUCGUUGGAUUAGAAGUCCAUAUUCGUUGAAUUAGAAUGUGUCACUUCCAACCAAAAUCCCUUAUAUUUAAGGACGGAGGGAGUACUAAUGUGAGCUAAAA
rnacentral:misc_RNA from 1 species